UACGGGGGGGGCAAGCGUUGUUCGGAAUUACUGGCGUAAAGGGCUCGUAGGUGGCCAACUAAGUCAGACGUGAAAUCCCCAGGCUCAACCUGGGAACUGCGUCUGAUACUGGAUGGCUUGAAUUCGGGAGAGGGAUGCAGAAUUCCAGGUGUAGCGGUGAAAUGCGUAGAUAUCUGGAGGAAUACCGGUGGCGAAGGCGGCAUCCUGGACCGACAUUGACGCUGAUGAGCGAAAGCUAGGGGAGCAAACGGG
rnacentral:rRNA from 1 species